AAUAGGUGCCGUCUUCUCACCUUCGUUCUUCCUCACUUUUUUCAGAUCUCACUUCACUCUUCUCCCCCUCUCACUUCAGAUAUGGAAACGACCACUUCCUCUCAUCUUCGUUCCCCCUCUCACCUUCUUCCCCCCUCUCACCUUCGCUUAUUGUUCUUGUUCGUUCUCCUUACGAUAUGUGAAACGACCACCAAUUCAUCUGAAAGAACAAUUUCAAGCAAAGCUCGCCGACGAACAACGCAGCGUUAACAAGGUCGCCCGACGAAUUCUCUCACUUCGAAUCCACCGCUGGCGACGCGCAGAUUUUGUUCGCUGUGUCCAGAGAUUGUGUUCGCUGACGACGACGCCGGCCAUCCGGAUUUGUUCGCUGCAUCUUGCGAGAUUGUCCGGCCAUCUUACAAUUAUUUUCUUUCUUUAUUUUUUUCUGUUUUGUAAUUAAAUUUUAUUUUUAACCAUUCACAGAUAAUGUCUUAUUUCACAUAUUCACAGAUUAUUUUUGUAGUUAAAAAUUUGUUCACUUUUGGUUGUUAACUACAUUGUGAAGUCAAAAGGGAAUUAUAGCUGGCAGAAAUCCAUAUAUUUAACGAGGUUGUAAUCUGUAGUAUCUUAAUCUGUUUCCAUAUUUAAGGUUUAUGCUUCAGCAUGUCUUUUCUUGUAGGUGGGAAUUAUUACAAGAGGAAAUGUCGUAAAAGCUGCUCUUCAAAUCAAGCGUGAAAAUGAGAAGAAAGCUCAAUGAUGGAGGCUGUGAUGCAGACAAAUGCAUUGUAAUGAAAAAUUUAUUCAAAGACUCGCGGUGCCCUAAUCUCCACCUUCGCACCGGCUUCUCCUCGUGCGCACACCAAAUCAUCAUCAACCACCAACGCCAAGAACAAUGAGCAAUAGGGUUGUAAAUUUUUAGUUUUUUUAGAUUAAGGGUUUGAUUUCUAGUUUUGUUGUUCAAGGUGGACCACCACCUUCUGCCUCUUAAUUUUGCUAGUGCACUCUUUGAGUUUUAGAUUUUAAUUCACAUUUCAUUUUUAGAUUUAGAAUUCUGAAUUUUGCUUCAAGUUGUUGGAAUUGUUACAUAUUGACAAUUUGGGUUGUUGUUGAUUUGUAAUUUAUUAUUAUGUAUUUGUUUUGAAUUUGUA